rnacentral:rRNA from 1 species
UACAGAGGUCUCAAGCGUUGUUCGGAUUCAUUGGGCGUAAAGGGUGUGUAGGUGGCGCCGUAAGUCGGGUGUGAAAUCUCAGGGCUCAACCCUGAAACUGCACUCGAUACUGCUCUGCUUGAGGACUGGAGAGGAGACUGGAAUUCACGGUGUAGCAGUGAAAUGCGUAGAUAUCGUGAGGAAGACCAGUGGCGAAGGCGGGUCUCUGGACAGUUCCUGACGCUGAGGCGCGAAGGCCAGGGGAGCAAACGGG